rnacentral:rRNA from 2 species
UGGGGAAUUUUGCACAAUGGGGGAAACCCUGAUGCAGCGACGCCGCGUGAUUUAGAAGGCCUUCGGGUUGUAAAAAUCUUUUCUAUGGGAAGAAAAUGACAGUACCAUAGGAAUAAGGACCGGCUAAUUACGUGCCAGCAGCCGCGGUAAUACGUAAGGUCCGAGCGUUGUCCGGAAUCAUUGGGCGUAAAGGGUACGUAGGCGGGUAAGCAAGUUAGAAGUGAAAUCCUAUAGCUCAACUAUAGUAAGCUUUUAAAACUGCUCAUCUUGAGGUAUGGAAGGGAAAGUGGAAUUCCUAGUGUAGCGGUGAAAUGCGCAGAUAUUAGGAGGAAUACCGGUGGCGAAGGCGACUUUCUGGCCAUAACCUGACGCGGAGGUACGAAAGCGUGGGUAGCAAACAGG